UACGUAGGGUGCGAGCGUUAAUCGGAAUUACUGGGCGUAAAGCGUGCGCAGGCGGUUCGUUGUGUCGGCGGUGAAAGCCCCGGGCUCAACCUGGGAAUGGCCGUUGAAACUGGCGAACUGGAGUGUGGCAGAGGGGGGUGGAAUUCCGCGUGUAGCAGUGAAAUGCGUAGAGAUGCGGAGGAGCACCGAUGGCGAAGGCAGUCCCCUGGGCUGACACUGACGCUCAGGCACGAAAGCGUGGGGAGCAAACAGG
rnacentral:rRNA from 1 species